UACGGAGGGUGCGAGCGUUAUCCGGAUUUACUGGGUUUAAAGGGUGUGCAGGCGGAUUAUUAAGUCAGUGGUGAAAUCCCGGGGCUCAACCCCGGAACUGCCAUUGAUACUAUUAGUCUUGAAUACUGUGGAGGUGAGCGGAAUGUGUCAUGUAGCGGUGAAAUGCUUAGAGAUGACACAGAACACCGAUUGCGAAGGCAGCUCACUACGCAGUUAUUGACGCUGAGGCACGAAAGCGUGGGGAUCAAACAGG
rnacentral:rRNA from 1 species